AUGUUCUCGAUCGCCGUAGAGAUACAGCUUCCCUUCGGGGCAGAGUGACAGGUGGUGCAUGGUUGUCGUCAGCUCGUGUCGUGAGAUGUUGGGUUAAGUCCCGCAACGAGCGCAACCCUUAAGUUUAGUUGCCAUCAUUAGGUUGGGCACUCUAGACUGACUGCCGGUGACAAACCGGAGGAAGGUGGGGACGACGUCAAAUCAUCAUCGCCCCUUAUGAUUUGGGCUACACACGUGCUACAAUGGACAGGUUACAAAGGGCAGCAACGCCGCGAGGCCAAGCGAACUCCCAAUAAAACUGUUCUCAGGUUCGGAUUGGAGUCUGACAACUCGACUCCAUGAAGCUGGAAUCGCUAGUAAUCGUAGAUCAGCAUGCGUACGGUAGAAUACCGUUCCGGGUCUUGUACGUCGACGCGGCCG
rnacentral:rRNA from 1 species